AAUCGUGAUACAACCAUCAAAAUUAAAGAUUUGGUAUCCAAAGGGCAAUGUAACCCAAAAAUGUGAACAACUGGUAUAUAUGGAGCAUCAGGAAGAGUAGCUAAUGGAUGUGGAGCUUAAUACCAAGGCGAUGGGUUGAUUUGUGCAGCAAACCACCAUGGUUCACGUUUACCUGUGUAGCAUACCUGUACAUCCUGCACAUAUACCCGAGCUUAAAAGUUGAAGGAAAA
rnacentral:lncRNA from 1 species